ACCCACAAUACCAAUGUUAUUAAAUAAUAAGCUAUUUCCUUGAAUUUAAUAUAACUUGACUGCCAGUUCAGAUAAGAUUUGAACUUAGGACCUUUGGUAUACAAGGCCGAGCAUUUUGCAUGACACUAGGAGGUGUACUGCUAGGUGUAAGGAUAAAAUGCCACUUAAACUCACGACAUCCAACAUUGCCGGCUUUCAGAUCUAGUUCUGGAGCUGAAUCUGGACAAUGAUAGUUAUUGCUUGCAAAUAUUCUCCAAAGGAUACAACAAGGA